AUUGAACGCUGGCGGCAUGCCUUACACAUGCAAGUCGAACGGCAGCACGGGGCAACCUGGUGGCGAGUGGCGAACGGGUGAGUAAUGCAUCGGAACGUACCUUUCAGUGGGGGAUAACGUAGCGAAAGUUACGCUAAUACCGCAUAUUCUGUGAGCAGGAAAGCAGGGGACCGCAAGACCUUGCGCUGAUUGAGCGGCCGAUGUCAGAUUAGCUAGUUGGUGAGGUAAAGGCUCACCAAGGCGACGAUCUGUAGCGGGUCUGAGAGGAUGAUCCGCCACAGUGGAACUGAGACACGGUCCAGACUCCUACGGGAGGCAGCAGUGGGGAAUUUUGGACAAUGGGGGCAACCCUGAUCCAGCCAUGCCGCGUGAGUGAAGAAGGCCUUCGGGUUGUAAAGCUCUUUCGGCCGGGAAGAAAUCGCACGGGCUAAUACCCUGUGUGGAUGACGGUACCGGAAUAAGAAGCACCGGCUAACUACGUGCCAGCCGCCGCAGUAACAC
rnacentral:rRNA from 1 species